GAAAUGCAAAGGGGACAUUGUUUAACAUCUUCCAUCAAAUGUUUGCCGGGGCCCACAGGCAGGAGUUGCAACUGGGUGUUGGAGAGGAGGAUCCUCGGAAUGUCUGCUAACGCUAAGUGCGAAGCCUCUGCGUUGAUGCCGUCCAAGAAGGAACAAGCGCGUAUGAUGAGGACAGCCUGUGCUCCAUCGUGGCAGCAGCAACCCUACCACACAAGUGCCAUGGCAACCCCCACAAAACCAUGAAGCAGCACAUCUAGCCCCCUGCAGGGGCCCAGGACGGCUCCACCCACAGACGCCAAUGUUGCCGUCUUCUCUUCUCUAUCGACAUGAAGCAAGAGGCAAAUUCUGUGAUUGGUGGAUGUUGUGAAGAAGGAAGGUCAUGGAGACAACUUAACCAAGCCCCCUGUGCGAGCCGAUGAGUGAGGGUGAAGCCAGGGGGCACGGCCCAUAUGUCAGGUAAGCAGAGGUGUGGCUUCACCCCGCCUAGUUCCAGGAGAACAAGGAAUUGAAGGAAGGAUCACACUCGGUUGCGAGAAAGGGCAGUGCAUCCAGCA